GAAAAAAGAAAUUGGGAGAAGAA
rnacentral:snRNA from 1 species